rnacentral:lncRNA from 1 species
CUCUUCUACCAACGCCCGCACUAUCUUCUGGUUCUUCUCCUCUUCAACCUCCAUUCUCCCCCUCUCCCUUCUUUUCCUCUCUCUUUCACCCUCCCCCACUCUUUCGUGUCUCUUUCCUCCUCUGAAUAACCAAGCUGUUUUGCUUCCGAAAGUAGAGAGAGAGGGAGAGAGAGAGAGAGAGAGAGAGAGAGAGAGAGAGAGAGAGGAGAGAGAGGCCUUGCUGUGAAUGGAAGACAGGAGGGACUCUGGUACAUCUGGGAGUGGAAACUUGAUGCUUCUGGGCUGUGAUUUGCCAAGGUCUCGCCAAAGAAGAGGAGAGGGAGCAAACAGACACCAGCAAAGCAUUCCUGUAACACGAUGUGCUACACAAGUUCCCAGUAGCGACAGACGCCUAAAGGAGCCUGUUUGUGUGCUGUGUGGCCACGUUCUGCUGUGACUGGAUCUUGUCUUCUGCCUGGCUCCUCGAUUUCCGUCCGGCUGGAUUUGGGGACAACACUGCCUGGCGCAGACAGAUCAAAUGACACUUCAAAGAAGCAUAAAAUGAACAGACUAUUCAAACAAAGACCGGGGCAGCAGUACGCCAGCAAGAGGGCAUGCUCUGCCCGCCUAGAAGUCCUAAGAAAUCGAGGAUCUCCCUUAAAACAUUCACAUACAAGAUAUGUGCAAUCAAGCUGCCUGCACUUGGUAAAAAAGAUCAUGAUGCCUAACCCAAUGAUCCGGAGCAGAUCUUUGAAUCAGCUGUCACUUCUAUAGAAUGGGAUUUCCCCCUUCUUCCUCUUUAACCAGCGUUGGAAACUGCCGAUGGCUUUAUACAUCUCAGUAGAGGAAGGCUAAAGAAUCUUCCGUGAGAAUGAAGCAAUUUACAAUGCAAAUAGAGGCCUGUGAAGAGAAGGACACUGCUGCUCACCCCCAACAGCUUGCUGCACCUUAGUCUCUGGUCUUAAUUUCUGAUACUCAUAGAUGAAUUGUUGGCUAACGAUACUGGAGAUUACUUGCUGGAAGGGGAAAAGUUUGGAAUAAACUCUGAAUGCAACAGAUCUCAUUUGGAUGUUCUAGCCGCACACACUAAGACAGAAACCAGGUCAUGUUUACAUGAAAGGAGAAGCUUAAACGCGGCAAGUACCCCGGAGGACUACGCUUCCCUAAAGCCAAAGAGGAUCGAGAUCUGGAGUUCAGCCAGAGGAAGGCAGCCUUGUGAGGGAAGCGAGUUGUUAUCUUUGGUUAUCUAGCUGUAUGAGUGUAUUGGUCUUCAUAAAGCUAGAUAACCGAAAGUAAAAACUCCUUCAAGGUCACCGAGGAACGUUCCGGAAAGAAAGACUGCAACCAAGAGACAGUAAAAACCAGAAAGGUCAGGAAUGCUUAUUGAAUCUAACUUUUUUUAUCUUAUGAUUGAAAGUGGGAUGCAAGAAAAUUAAGUGACACGCAUAUUGAAAUCUAAAGGGGCCAGGCUUUGAGGGGCUUGUACAACUGGAGAGGAGAAUUGUGUAGUGUUUUUUACGGGUGACGAUGCAUGUAUUUUCUAUAUUGUUCAUUUUGAAGCAAACGUUUACAUAUGAGGUUUUUUUUUUCUUUUUUUUUCUUAGAAAGCUGUUAUAGUGAUGUCUGGUACCUCGCUUAAAAAUGAUUUCAUAAUUAUGUAGAUUUGGGCUGUUCCUAUCUGAGGCCCCUCCCCCAAGUUUGAAGCUUGUGCCUGGAAACUUUCUAUGUAUUUGGGUGUGUACAUCAAAUUCUGUGAAGUUAGACUUUCAGUAAAGCUUAUACUGGAAGGUUAAUAAUUUAUAUCUACCGAAGACUUAGAGCUAGCAGGGAAAAGGGGUGGGGGCAAAGGCUGAUUUUUAUUCUUCUAUUCAAAAUACAAGGACAGAUGCUUCUCUGUUCCAAGAGGGUUUCCUUGAGGAAGCUACUGAAGCAGAAAGACAUGAUGGAGACGAGAUCGCCUCCCCUCUUGUCAAAGUGUUAAAAAAAUGUUCUGUCUUACUCUGCGCCUAGCAUUGGAAAUGAAAGUGACAUUUACGCCACAACCCACGUGUGCGCCUCCUCUCUUUUUGUUUAAGGAUGAUCAGGUCUAUCCAGGAAACAGCUCUGGCAUCCCAAACUGAAAUAAUUAGGACGUAUAUAGACCUGACAAAAAUGGAAAGGGGGUGGGGAAUCUGAGGGUCUGUCUUGCCUAAUUGAUUCCGCUAAACGGAAAGCAGGAGAUGUGAACGGCAGGACGCUCCGAUUCCCACGCUCGGGGGCAAGUGGUAAAGCCUGGCCGGCAGCCUAUGACAGACAGCCCUGUUGGGGGGUAGGGGUAUGAAAAAAACAUCAAGCACACACACACCAUACUCAUCUCCAUCGCUUAAGAAAGUAAAGGCAUUUCCCACCCACAGCCAUCUGCAGCCUCCCAAAUGGCAACACCAACUGGUUGGUAGCUGCUAUGUACUGUCUCUGUUCAUUUUUAAACCUCUGUUUAAUCUGGCCAUGAUUAAAUUUGGAUUUCUCCUUUGGUUGAAAUUUUCACCAUUUAAGGAAAACAAGUGGAAAGGGUGCCAAGAGUGCCCCAGAACUGCAUGCCCUUCUCAGAGAAGUCCUCAGUAUGUGGUUAGGGCCUUGUGACCACCUUUGGCUUUUGUUUUGGCUGUGUUAUAUUUUAAAGUCAUGUCUCAUAGCAUUCAUUAUUAUGACUUACUUCAUCGGGUUGUUUACUUCCUUGUGUGACACACAGGAACUUGGCCUACUUAUGCUAAUCUACAUUCUGGAAAUAAAGCUAUAAAGUCAUCAGUCUGUAGAAAGUUGAUUACAAUCACAAUAUGUUAGAGAACUUGUUUUGUUUUAGAAUUGUCCUAGCGGAUGAGCUUUUUUUUUCCCUUUUCCCCCUCCUCUUCCUUUUCUUCCUCCUCUUCCCUCUUCAUCUAAAAGUCACUAGUCCCAGCAUAAACUUUGAGGCUUUGGAGAAACCACUGUAGUCCUUUUUUGAAGUUCCUUGCAUCCUGUUACAUUUUAUCAGGCAAACAUUUGUAUAGGCAUUUGCACAUAAAUACAAGCAUUGCAAUGAGAAAAAAAAUUCCAAAAUUGCUUCUUUUCUUUCAUAUGGCCUAAAUUACUGACACUCCCAAAUGCAUAAGUUUUCUUCAGGGACAGUACAUUUUUCUUUAUAGCUUCAACUUCUUGUAAGAUUGACACCAGAGAAACCUGUAAAGCCACUGGUAGUUUCAUUUAGAAAAGCCAAGAGACUUUAAUAACACAACUUCUCAGUUUGGCCGCUGUACACGUGCCAAAGUUUGACUGCUGUAGAGGCAGUCGAGAAGACCCUUGCUUAUUUACCUUGGAAGCACUGUUUGUGCAAACAAGCUUUCAUUGUUAAGUGCCUGUAUUCCUUUCAUUUGCUUCAUGUCCAGGGGUGCUAUUUACCUAGAACCAUUGUCUACUACAAUUAACAUUUACAUUACAAAGUGUGUGCUUUUCUUUCUCAAGGAGGUUCAAUUAAGGCAAUAAGAUGUUUGCUGGGGAAACCUAUUGUUUACUCAAAGCUCUCAAUGGAGUCACAUUACUGAAGUUUUUGCCUACAUCUUGGGUCGUUUAUGUAAAUAUGUUAACUAUAACAUCUAAGGAAAAUAAACAAUAUUAAAAUUAUGUGUUUGCCAUUGUCAUAUCCAACUUGCUUUGUAUCAUACUAAUGUUACAUAACUUAUCGAUCAAUAAAAAUACAUUUCAAUG